GAGAGAGACAGUGCAAACAGAGAGAAAAGGGUGCAGUCUGGAGAUAGUCAGGGACCAGGAUCUAGAAAACUUGGCAGAUGAUGAGAGGCAAGAGAGAGAUGGGAAGGCAAGAGGACUUCUAGAUUUCCGGAGGAGCAGUGAGCAAACGGGUUGAGAAAGGCUAAGUCACUCCACUUAGGUCACAUGGCGAUCAUGGAGCACAAGACAUCACCUGAAAUAACCAGGGAUGAUAGAAUUUGGGAUCACAACUUCAUUCCAAACGUUUGAUACAGGCAAUAAUGGCCCAACAGGCCCACAAUCUUUCCAGGAAUGAUCAGACAACUCCUCAGCUCUUUGCUUCCCCUGCCCCCAUGGUGCAUCCCUGCAUUUCACCUGUCCUGCCUUCCCAGCAGUCAGGAGAUGGCUCCCUGAGGAUGAAUAAGAAAGGGAAUUUCAUCCUCCAUGCAUCGUGCUCAGUGCCAGGAUGGGCAUCCUGAUGAGCCAGGAUCUGGGAGCAAGUGCAAAGGGGAUGAAAUCAUACAAAACUCAGUACUAAAAAAAAAAAAAAAAAAAAAGGAAAAUCAAAUAAAAGCAAAAUAUUUUCUGCCUAUUUUUUCCUUGCAAACUUCUCAAUUCUAUACAAAUAUUUGAUGAUUGUAUUUUCAAAUAAAGAAAUGAAAAUGGAAAUAAUGGAAAUAUGGAAAUAUCCAAAGUGAAAUAUGAAAGCCACUCUUCACAGCUGUCUGUCCAUUGAUUCCCCAUUGAUUCCCCUCUCAAUAUACAGGUACAUUUAUACCUGUCUUUUAUCAAUAAACAGGAUGCUAUCUUCAUUGCUAUUUAAUUUUUUAAAUAUAAUAAUAGGACAGAGAUACUUCCAUGUGAGGACACAUAUCCUAUACCAAAAUUCAUAGAGCUACAUCUCGUUCUUUUCAACAACUAUAUAAUAUUCCACAGAAUGGAAG
rnacentral:lncRNA from 10 species